UACGAAGGGGGCUAGCGUUGUUCGGAAUUACUGGGCGUAAAGCGCACGUAGGCGGAUAUUUAAGUCAGGGGUGAAAUCCCAGAGCUCAACUCUGGAACUGCCUUUGAUACUGGGUAUCUUGAGUAUGGAAGAGGUAAGUGGAAUUGCGAGUGUAGAGGUGAAAUGCGUAGAUAUCUGGAGGAACACCGGUGGCGAAGGCGGCAUCCUGGACCGACACUGACGCUGAGGAGCGAAAGCCAGGGGAGCAAACGGG
rnacentral:rRNA from 1 species